GUCAAAUCAAUACAACAUGAAAGCAUGGUUUCAAAUUAUAGGUUUUUUGGGCUGCCAUAACCGUUACACCCGUUAAAUUACAGGUUCUAAAAAUUGUAGCUGCCACGGUUGCUACGACCGUUACGUAACUGUUACCAACCAUUACAUAAUGCCAUUACUUGACCUACUUUGCAUUUCCACCUCUGUUUCACAUCUACUUCACCUCCAUG
rnacentral:misc_RNA from 1 species